rnacentral:rRNA from 1 species
CUUAGUUACCAGCACGUUAUGGUGGGCACUCUAAGGAGACUGCCGGUGACAAACCGGAGGAAGGUGGGGAUGACGUCAAGUCAUCAUGGCCCUUACGGCCAGGGCUACACACGUGCUACAAUGGUCGGUACAAAGGGUUGCCAAGCCGCGAGGUGGAGCUAAUCCCAUAAAACCGAUCGUAGUCCGGAUCGCAGUCUGCAACUCGACUGCGUGAAGUCGGAAUCGCUAGUAAUCGUGAAUCAGAAUGUCACGGUGAAUACGUUCCCGGGCCUUGUACACACCGCCCGUCACACCAUGGGAGUGGGUUGCUCCAGAAGUAGCUAGUCUAACCGCAAGGGGGACGGUUACCACGGAGUGAUUCAUGACUGGGGUGAAGUCGUAACAAGGUAGCCGU